AGCGUACACGGUGGAUGCCCUGGCAGUCAGAGGCGAUGAAGGACGUGCUAAUCUGCGAUAAGCGUCGGUAAGGUGAUAUGAACCGUUAUAACCGGCGAUUUCCGAAUGGGGAAACCCAGUGUGUUUCGACACACUAUCAUUAACUGAAUCCAUAGGUUAAUGAGGCGAACCGGGGGAACUGAAACAUCUAAGUACCCCGAGGAAAAGAAAUCAACCGAGAUUCCCCCAGUAGCGGCGAGCGAACGGGGAGGAGCCCAGAGCCUGAAUCAGUGUGUGUGUUAGUGGAAGCGUCUGGAAAGGCGCGCGAUACAGGGUGACAGCCCCGUACACAAAAAUGCACAUAUUGUGAGCUCGAUGAGUAGGGCGGGACACGUGGUAUCCUGUCUGAAUAUGGGGGGACCAUCCUCCAAGGCUAAAUACUCCUGACUGACCGAUAGUGAACCAGUACCGUGAGGGAAAGGCGAAAAGAACCCCGGCGAGGGGAGUGAAAAAGAACCUGAAACCGUGUACGUACAAGCAGUGGGAGCACGCUUAGGCGUGUGACUGCGUACCUUUUGUAUAAUGGGUCAGCGACUUAUAUUCUGUAGCAAGGUUAACCGAAUAGGGGAGCCGAAGGGAAACCGAGUCUUAACUGGGCGUUAAGUUGCAGGGUAUAGACCCGAAACCCGGUGAUCUAGCCAUGGGCAGGUUGAAGGUUGGGUAACACUAACUGGAGGACCGAACCGACUAAUGUUGAAAAAUUAGCGGAUGACUUGUGGCUGGGGGUGAAAGGCCAAUCAAACCGGGAGAUAGCUGGUUCUCCCCGAAAGCUAUUUAGGUAGCGCCUCGUGAAUUCAUCUCCGGGGGUAGAGCACUGUUUCGGCAAGGGGGUCAUCCCGACUUACCAACCCGAUGCAAACUGCGAAUACCGGAGAAUGUUAUCACGGGAGACACACGGCGGGUGCUAACGUCCGUCGUGAAGAGGGAAACAACCCAGACCGCCAGCUAAGGUCCCAAAGUCAUGGUUAAGUGGGAAACGAUGUGGGAAGGCCCAGACAGCCAGGAUGUUGGCUUAGAAGCAGCCAUCAUUUAAAGAAAGCGUAAUAGCUCACUGGUCGAGUCGGCCUGCGCGGAAGAUGUAACGGGGCUAAACCAUGCACCGAAGCUGCGGCAGCGACGCUGAUGCGUUGUUGGGUAGGGGAGCGUUCUGUAAGCCUGCGAAGGUGUGCUGUGAGGCAUGCUGGAGGUAUCAGAAGUGCGAAUGCUGACAUAAGUAACGAUAAAGCGGGUGAAAAGCCCGCUCGCCGGAAGACCAAGGGUUCCUGUCCAACGUUAAUCGGGGCAGGGUGAGUCGACCCCUAAGGCGAGGCCGAAAGGCGUAGUCGAUGGGAAACAGGUUAAUAUUCCUGUACUUGGUGUUACUGCGAAGGGGGGACGGAGAAGGCUAUGUUGGCCGGGCGACGGUUGUCCCGGUUUAAGCGUGUAGGCUGGUUUUCCAGGCAAAUCCGGAAAAUCAAGGCUGAGGCGUGAUGACGAGGCACUACGGUGCUGAAGCAACAAAUGCCCUGCUUCCAGGAAAAGCCUCUAAGCAUCAGGUAACAUCAAAUCGUACCCCAAACCGACACAGGUGGUCAGGUAGAGAAUACCAAGGCGCUUGAGAGAACUCGGGUGAAGGAACUAGGCAAAAUGGUGCCGUAACUUCGGGAGAAGGCACGCUGAUAUGUAGGUGAAGCGACUUGCUCGUGGAGCUGAAAUCAGUCGAAGAUACCAGCUGGCUGCAACUGUUUAUUAAAAACACAGCACUGUGCAAACACGAAAGUGGACGUAUACGGUGUGACGCCUGCCCGGUGCCGGAAGGUUAAUUGAUGGGGUUAGCGCAAGCGAAGCUCUUGAUCGAAGCCCCGGUAAACGGCGGCCGUAACUAUAACGGUCCUAAGGUAGCGAAAUUCCUUGUCGGGUAAGUUCCGACCUGCACGAAUGGCGUAAUGAUGGCCAGGCUGUCUCCACCCGAGACUCAGUGAAAUUGAACUCGCUGUGAAGAUGCAGUGUACCCGCGGCAAGACGGAAAGACCCCGUGAACCUUUACUAUAGCUUGACACUGAACAUUGAGCCUUGAUGUGUAGGAUAGGUGGGAGGCUUUGAAGUGUGGACGCCAGUCUGCAUGGAGCCGACCUUGAAAUACCACCCUUUAAUGUUUGAUGUUCUAACGUUGACCCGUAAUCCGGGUUGCGGACAGUGUCUGGUGGGUAGUUUGACUGGGGCGGUCUCCUCCUAAAGAGUAACGGAGGAGCACGAAGGUUGGCUAAUCCUGGUCGGACAUCAGGAGGUUAGUGCAAUGGCAUAAGCCAGCUUGACUGCGAGCGUGACGGCGCGAGCAGGUGCGAAAGCAGGUCAUAGUGAUCCGGUGGUUCUGAAUGGAAGGGCCAUCGCUCAACGGAUAAAAGGUACUCCGGGGAUAACAGGCUGAUACCGCCCAAGAGUUCAUAUCGACGGCGGUGUUUGGCACCUCGAUGUCGGCUCAUCACAUCCUGGGGCUGAAGUAGGUCCCAAGGGUAUGGCUGUUCGCCAUUUAAAGUGGUACGCGAGCUGGGUUUAGAACGUCGUGAGACAGUUCGGUCCCUAUCUGCCGUGGGCGCUGGAGAACUGAGGGGGGCUGCUCCUAGUACGAGAGGACCGGAGUGGACGCAUCACUGGUGUUCGGGUUGUCAUGCCAAUGGCACUGCCCGGUAGCUAAAUGCGGAAGAGAUAAGUGCUGAAAGCAUCUAAGCACGAAACUUGCCCCGAGAUGAGUUCUCCCUGACUCCUUGA
rnacentral:rRNA from 1 species